AGUUUGAUCCUGGGUCAGGACGAACGCUGGCGGCGUGCUUAACACAUGCAAGUCGAACGAUGAAGCCGGAGCUUGCUCCGGUGGAUUAGUGGCGAACGGGUGAGUAACACGUGAGUAACCUGCCCUUGACUCUGGGAUAAGCGUUGGAAACGACGUCUAAUACCGGAUACGAGCUUCAGCCGCAUGGCUAGGAGUUGGAAAGAAUUUCGGUCAAGGAUGGACUCGCGGCCUAUCAGCUAGUUGGUGAGGUAAUGGCUCACCAAGGCGACGACGGGUAGCCGGCCUGAGAGGGUGACCGGCCACACUGGGACUGAGACACGGCCCAGACUCCUACGGGAGGCAGCAGUGGGGAAUAUUGCACAAUGGGCGCAAGCCUGAUGCAGCAACGCCGCGUGAGGGAUGACGGCCUUCGGGUUGUAAACCUCUUUUAGUAGGGAAGAAGCGAAAGUGACGGUACCUGCAGAAAAAGCACCGGCUAACUACGUGCCAGCAGCCGCGGUAAUACGUAGGGUGCAAGCGUUGUCCGGAAUUAUUGGGCGUAAAGAGCUCGUAGGCGGUUUGUCGCGUCUGCUGUGAAAACCUGGAGGCUCAACCUCCAGCCUGCAGUGGGUACGGGCAGACUAGAGUGCGGUAGGGGAGAUUGGAAUUCCUGGUGUAGCGGUGGAAUGCGCAGAUAUCAGGAGGAACACCGAUGGCGAAGGCAGAUCUCUGGGCCGUAACUGACGCUGAGG
rnacentral:rRNA from 1 species